AGGGGAGUAGCUCAAUUGGUAGAGCGUCGGUCUCCAAAACCGGUGGCUGCGGGUUCGAUUCCUGUCUCCCCUGCCA
rnacentral:tRNA from 1 species